UACGUAGGGGGCAAGCGUUGUCCGGAAUUACUGGGCGUAAAGCGCGCGUAGGCGGGACGGGAAGUCUGGCGUGAAAGCCUCCGGCUCAACCGGAGAGGGCCGCCGGAUACUCCCGUUCUUGAGGGUCGAAGAGGAGAGUGGAAUUCCCGGUGUAGCGGUGAAAUGCGUAGAGAUCGGGAGGAACACCCAUGGCGAAGGCAGCUCUCUGGUCGAUCUCUGACGCUGAGGUGCGAAAGCGUGGGGAGCGAACGGG
rnacentral:rRNA from 1 species